rnacentral:rRNA from 1 species
UAUGACUCUCGGCAAUGGAUAUCUUGGCUCUUGCAUCGAUGAAGAGCGCAGCGAAAUGCGAUACGUGGUGUGAAUUGCAGAAUCCCGUGAACCAUCAAAUCUUUGAACGCAAGUUGCGCCCGAGGCCAUUUGGCUAAGGGCACGUCCGCCUGGGCGUCAAGCA